rnacentral:rRNA from 1 species
CCUACGGGUGGCAGCAGUGGGGAAUAUUGGGCAAUGGACGCAAGUCUGACCCAGCAACGCCGCGUGAAGGAAGAAGGCUUGCGGGGUGUAAACGUCUGUUAAGGGGGAAGAGCAGAAGACGGUACCCCUGGAAGAAGCCACGGCUAACGACGGGCCAGCAGCCGCGGUAAUACGGAGGUGGCAAGCGUUGGCCGGAUUUACUGGGUGGAAAGGGCGUGCAGCCGGAGAGACAAGUCAGAUGGGAAAUCCACGGGCUCAACCCGUGAACGGCAUUUGAAACUGUUUCCCUUGAGUGUCGGAGAGGUAAUCGGCAUUCCUUUUGUAGCGGUGAACUGCGUAGAUCUCAGGCA